UGGCUCUGGCAUCGAUGAAGAACGCAGCGAAAUGCGAUAAGUAGUGUGAAUUGCAGAAUUCCGUGAAUCAUCGAAUCUUUGAACGCACAUUGCGCCCAUUGGUAUUCCUUUGGGCAUGCCUGUCCGAGCGUCAUUUACGCAAUCAAGCUCCGCUUGGUGUUGGGUGUCUGUCCCGCCUCCCGCGCGUGGACUCGCCUCAAAGUCAUUGGCGGCUGUCACGACGGCUUCGAGCGCAGCAGAGAUGCGCUCCCUGCCCGUCGGCCGGCUCCCAGAAGCUACAACAUCGUUAGUUUGACCUCGGAUCAGGUAGGGAUACCCGCUGA
rnacentral:misc_RNA from 1 species